rnacentral:rRNA from 1 species
CAGGCCUAACACAUGCAAGUCGAACGAGACCUUCGGGUCUAGUGGCGCACGGGUGCGUAACGCGUGGGAAUCUGCCCUUGGGUCUGGAAUAACAGUUAGAAAUGACUGCUAAUACCGGAUGAUGACUUCGGUCCAAAGAUUUAUCGCCCAGGGAUGAGCCCGCGUAGGAUUAGCUAGUUGGUGAGGUAAAAGCUCACCAAGGCGACGAUCCUUAGCUGGUCUGAGAGGAUGAUCAGCCACACUGGGACUGAGACACGGCCCAGACUCCUACGGGAGGCAGCAGUGGGGAAUAUUGGACAAUGGGCGAAAGCCUGAUCCAGCAAUGCCGCGUGAGUGAUGAAGGCCUUAGGGUUGUAAAGCUCUUUUACCCGGGAUGAUAAUGACAGUACCGGGAGAAUAAGCCCCGGCUAACUCCGUGCCAGCAGCCGCGGUAAU